rnacentral:rRNA from 1 species
UACAGAGGGGGCAAGCGUUGUUCGGAAUUACUGGGCGUAAAGGGCGCGUAGGCGGCCUGCUAAGUCGAACGUGAAAUCCCCGGGCUCAACCCGGGAACUGCGUCCGAUACUGGCAGGCUUGAAUUCGGGAGAGGGAUGCGGAAUUCCAGGUGUAGCGGUGAAAUGCGUAGAUAUCAAGAGGAACACCAGUGGCGAAGGCGAGUCCCUGGACAACACCUGACACUGAGGCACGAAAGCUAGGGGAGCAAACAGG